rnacentral:rRNA from 1 species
CCUACGGGGGGCAGCAGUGGGGAAUAUUGCACAAUGGGCGAAAGCCUGAUGCAGCAACGCCGCGUGAAGGAAGAAGGGUUUCGGCUCGUAAACUUCUAUCAACAGGGACGAAAGAAAUGACGGUACCUGAAUAAGAAGCCCCGGCUAACUACGUGCCAGCAGCCGCGGUAAUACGUAGGGGGCAAGCGUUAUCCGGAAUUACUGGGUGUAAAGGGUGAGUAGGCGGCAUGGUAAGCCAGAUGUGAAAGCCUUGGGCUUAACCCGAGGAUUGCAUUUGGAACUAUCAAGCUAGAGUACAGGAGAGG